UGGGGAAUAUUGCACAAUGGGGGAAACCCUGAUGCAGCGACGCCGCGUGGAGGAAGAAGGUCUUCGGAUUGUAAACUCCUGUUGUUGGGGAAGAUAAUGACGGUACCCAACAAGGAAGUGACGGCUAACUACGUGCCAGCAGCCGCGGUAAAACGUAGGUCACAAGCGUUGUCCGGAAUUACUGGGUAUAAAGGGAGCGCAGGCGGGAAGACAAGUUGGAAGUGAAAUCUAUGGGCUCAACCCAUAAACUGCUUUCAAAACUGUUUUUCUUGAGUAGUGCAGAGGUAGGCGGAAUUCCCGGUGUAGCGGUGGAAUGCGUAGAUAUCGGGAGGAACACCAGUGGCGAAGGCGGCCUACUGGGCACCAACUGACGCUGAGGCUCGAAAGUGUGGGUAGCAAACAGGAUUAGAUACCCUGGUAGUCCACACCGUAAACGAUGAUUACUAGGUGUUGGAGGAUUGACCCCUUCAGUGCCGCAGUUAACACAAUAAGUAAUCCACCUGGGGAGUACGACCGCAAGGUUGAAACUCAAAGGAAUUGACGGGGGCCCGCACAAGCAGUGGAGUAUGUGGUUUAAUUCGACGCAACGCGAAGAACCUUACCAAGUCUUGACAUCCUGUGACAGACGUAGAAAUACGUUCUUCCUUCGGGACACAGAGACAGGUGGUGCAUGGUUGUCGUCAGCUCGUGUCGUGAGAUGUUGGGUUAAGUCCCGCAACGAGCGCAACCCUUAUGGUCAGUUACUACGCAAGAGGACUCUGGCCAGACUGCCGUUGACAAAACGGAGGAAGGUGGGGAUGACGUCAAAUCAUCAUGCCCUUUAUGACUUGGGCUACACACGUACUACAAUGGCGUUAAACAAAGAGAAGCAAGACCGCGAGGUGGAGCAAAACUCAGAAACAACGUCCCAGUUCGGACUGCAGGCUGCAACUCGCCUGCACGAAGUCGGAAUUGCUAGUAAUCGUGGAUCAGCAUGCCACGGUGAAUACGUUCCC
rnacentral:rRNA from 1 species